rnacentral:rRNA from 1 species
UUCGGGUUGUCAUGCCAAUGGCACUGCCCGGUAGCUAAAUGCGGAAGAGAUAAGUGCUGAAAGCAUCUAAGCACGAAACUUGCCCCGAGAUGAGUUCUCCCUGACUCCUUGAGAGUCCUGAAGGAACGUUGAAGACGACGACGUUGAUAGGCCGGGUGUGUAAGCGCAGCGAUGCGUUGAGCUAACCGGUACUAAUGAACCGUGAGGCUUAACCUU